AUAAAAAUAAUAAAAACUGUCCACUUUUUGAUUAAAAAGACAAAAAUACCCUCCUUUAAAAAUAUGCACUCUCUCUUUUUCUCUCAUUCUCUUCUCUCUCUUCUCCCUCACAGUCAACUCCCUUCCCCCUUCUCUCUCUCUUUCUCUCUCCCUCCCUCCCUCCCUUCGAGCUCAGAUCGCCGGCGAUCUCAUUCCUGCGCCGCCGUUGUAACCGAACAAACUCACGCCAGAGACGAUGGAUCCGACGGCGGUGGUGAAAGUGUGCGUGCCGUGGCCGUCGUCAUCGCGCGGCGAUCUCGAUUCCUUGGAUUCAUCAAUCGGUGGCGUAAUCGGAGGCAUCGCAGUGGUUAGAGCACCGAAUCCAUUGAUUCCGACUUCGAGCUCCAAUAUUUGAAGUGGCGUUGCCGUCGAUCGCCGGAGAUCUGGAGAUCUGGAGUGCUUGAAAUGGCGGCGGCGGCUCCUGCGUCCUCAUCGCCUUCUCCUUCUCCUACGGCCUUUUUCUCGCCGCCAGCUCUUCCUUCGUCGAUUACCUCUCCUUCACCGUCCGUCUCCGCGCCUCCGACAGCCGGUGGCGACGGGUCGGUGAUGCUGGAGAUUGAGAUGGUUUUGGUGGCGAAGGCUGUGACGUGGAGGAUGAGGGGGUCGAGAAACACAGCGCGCAACAUCCCCGCGGCAUUAUUAUCCGUUUUGUUAUUGGCAGAAGUUCCAAUCGAGGAGACAGCUUGGAUAGGAGCAUUGAUAACGAAAACAAACUAACAAAUGAUAUUUUUGUUCUUGAUAACCAUGUGGAGGCCCCUGAGGAACUACCAAACAAGACGAAAUUAUUCUUUGCUCAGGCUGCCGAAAACUGGGAUGCGGACUAUUAUGCAAAAGUCAAUGAUGAUGUUUAUGUGAAUAUUGGUAGGUCUAAACUACAUUUACUUGCAAAUAGUGUACAUGAUUGGUGAUCUGCUCUCUGCCUCUACUCAAUCUGCGCCGCCAGACGCUGCGUCUCCGAUUCUCCUCCGCUGCUCUCUGAAAUUUUGUUUGUGAAUAUUGCAAAUCUUCUUGAACUUUUGUUUGUGAAUUUUGUUGGCUGUUUGUAGAAGAUUUGGUGUGAGGAGGGAGAUUAGUCAAAUUAAUAUUCUUGGUUUGAUGCCUGGAGAUUUUGUUGGUUUGAUGUUUUUGAUUAGUAUGCAAAAGCCUAUAGCUUAAUUGAUUAAUUAAUGUUUCACUUAAUCAAGAAUUCAUUUGUGGUAGAUUUUAUGUUAGUAGGUUUAAUUUUCUAAAUUUCACAG